rnacentral:rRNA from 1 species
CCUACGGGUGGCAGCAGUGGGGGAUAUUGCACAAUGGGGGAAACCCUGAUGCAGCGACGCCGCGUGGGUGAAGAAGUAUUUCGGUAUGUAAAGCCCUAUCAGCAGGGAAGAAAGAAGACGGUACCUGACUACGAAGCCCCGGCUAACUACGUGCCAGCAGCCGCGGUAAUACGAUGGGGGCAAGUGUUAUCCGGAUGUACUGGGUGUAAAGGGAGCGUAGCCGGUGCGCCAAGUCAGGAGUGAAAUGCCGCAGCUUAACUGCGGAACUGCUUUGGAAACUGGCGAACUAGAGUGCGGGAGGGGGAAGCGGAAUUCCUGGUGUAGCAGUGAAAUGCGUAGAUAUUAGGAGGAACACCGGUGGCGAAGGCGGGUUACUGGACAGUAACUGACGUUGAGGCACGAAGGCGUGGGGAGCAAACGGGAUUAGAUACCCGAGUAGUC